rnacentral:piRNA from 1 species
UGAGCACUUCAGUUUUACAGGAUUGUCCU